rnacentral:rRNA from 1 species
CUCGUAGGCGGCCAACUAAGUCAGACGUGAAAUCCCUCGGCUUAACCGGGGAACUGCGUCUGAUACUGGAUGGCUUGAGAUUGGGAGAGGGAUGCGGAAUUCCAGGUGUAGCGGUGAAAUGCGUAGAUAUCUGGAGGAACACCGGUGGCGAAGGCGGCAUCCUGGACCAACACUGACGCUGAGUGAGCGAAAGCCAGGGGAGCAAACGGGAUUAGAUACCCCGGUAGUCCUGGCCCUAAACGAUGAAUGCUUGGUGUGACGGGUAUCGAUCCCUGUCGUGCCGAAGCUAACGCAUUAAGCAUUCCGCCUGGGGAGUACGGUCGCAAGGCUGAA